UCCUGGUUUCCCAGGCAGUCUCACCAGAGUGCCUUACCCGAAGGCAAGUAGCAACUGGCGACAGGGGUUGCGCUCGUUAGAGGACUUAACCUAACAUCUCACGACACGAGCUGACGACAGCCAUGCAGCACCUGUGAAUGUGUCUAAACCGAAGCUUAGAAAACCAUAUUUCUACGGCGGUCACAAACAUGUCAAGUCCAGGUAAGGUUCCUCGCGUAGUGUCGAAUUAAACCACAUGUUCCACCGCUUGUGCGGACCCCCGUCAAUUCCUUUGAGUUUUAAUCUUGCGAUCGUAAUCCCCAGGCGAAUCACUUAACGCGUUAGCUACGACACUAAUCCAGCUAAGCCAGACUAACGUCUAGUGAUCAUCGUUUACGGCGUGGACUAC
rnacentral:misc_RNA from 1 species